CGCAACCCUAACGCGAACCGAAGGUCUCCGCAGUCUCUUCCCCUUCCUUUUUCUCUUCUCCUUGGCUCCUAAUCGAGGUCCCUCUGCACUCUUACUCUGGGGCCUUUGCUAGACCUCGCUCCCUCAGUCUCUCUGCUCCGUCGCCACAGAGGUUGAUUUCGGCCACCAUAAGCCUUAUCUUCUGAUUUUGCCCAAUCCAAGUUGCGACCAUCAAAGCUAUUUCCACCCACACGGGAUUGCAUGUUCUUUGGAUUUGAGAUUGUGUGGAUGUACUGUUGGUAUUCAAAGCCAUUGUAUUUUGCUAAGAGAUUGGUAGCACCAGGGUACAAUCAAGGUCUGAAGGGUUUUUUGCCAAAUGACAUUUCCAAACUUCAUAAUCUGCAAAUCCUUUGAGUUUCUUCUCCUACAAUAAUUGUUGAAAGAGUAGGGUCUUUUGCUUGGGCACAUAAAAGCUGGAGAGUCAGAGAGGAGUUUACACGCAGCUACAAUUAAUCUAUUUGCAGCUACUGAGCUUCCACUUCAACAAGCUAUCCUCCCCCCUGUUUUGCAAUUGCGUAAUGAUCCAAAUCCUGCUGUUAGGGAAGCAGCUAUUUUGUGCAUUGAGGCAAUUCUAACUCGUUCUUUUACUGAGAAAGACUAUAAGAAAAUAACAGUAGCUACAACAAGGACACUCCAAAUGAUCAAGAAAGCCAAAGAGCUAGCAAUCCUCUGCACUGCACAAGUUGGCCUUGUCAUAUUCUCCUGCACGAGAAAGCUUUAUGAAUAUGCCAGCACCAGCUUUACAAAGAGGCCUAUUGAAGGAAAUGCAACAAUGAAUUAGGAUUUAAGAAGCUGACUUCACAUAUUGGAAUAUAGUAAAGCGCUGCAUAAUGCGCCUUACUUGUGUAAAAAAGAUGGGAUUGUUCUUCACUGCCUGCAUGUAAGUUCUCUAAAUUAAAGGACUAGUGUUUUGGAGUUUCGUUUCUCCUUCUAUAUUGUUCAUUGUCAAUGGUGUUCUUUUCCCAUUCACGACUUCCUUCAGCACAAUCCUAUUGUAGAUGUAACUUUCUUAUGCACCUAAAUGCUUUUUAUUCAUCUGACCAAAAUACUUGUGUUGUUGGUUAGCUUGAGUACGUUGGAUUAUUAUCUCAACUUGAAAACAUC